rnacentral:rRNA from 1 species
UACGUAGGUGGCAAGCGUUUUCCGGAAUUAUUGGGCGUAAAGCGCUCGCAGGCGGUCCUUUAAGUCUGAUGUGAAAUCUCGCGGCUCAACCGCGAACGGUCAUUGGAAACUGGAGGACUUGAGUACAGAAGAGGAGAGUGGAAUUCCACGUGUAGCGGUGAAAUGCGUAGAGAUGUGGAGGAACACCAGUGGCGAAGGCGACUCUCUGGUCUGUAACUGACGCUGAGGAGCGAAAGCGUGGGGAGCGAACAGG